rnacentral:rRNA from 1 species
AUUGAACGCUGGCGGCAGGCCUAACACAUGCAAGUCGAACGAGUGGCGGACGGGUGAGCAAUGUCUGGGAAACUGCCUGAUGGAGGGGGAUAACUACUGGAAACGGUAGCUAAUACCGCAUACCAUCGGAUGUGCCCAGAUGGGAUUAGCUAGUAGGUGGGGUAAAGGCUCACUUCGGCCACGAUCCCUAACUGGUCUGAGAGGAUGACCAGCCACACUGGAACUGAGACACGGACCAGACUCCUACGGGAGGCAGAAGUGGGGAAUAUUGCACAAUGGGCGCAAGCCUGAUGCGGCCAUGCCGCGUGUAUAAAGAAGGCCUUCGAGUUGUAAUGUACUUUCAGCGGGGAGGCGUUACCCGCAGAAGAAGCACCGGCUAACUCCGUGCCAGCAGCCGCGGUAAUUC